rnacentral:rRNA from 1 species
CUGGCGGCGUGCCUAAUACAUGCAAGUCGAACGGACUUUUCUAUGGAAGCUUGCUUCCAACGUGAAAAGGAUAGUGGCGAACGGGGUGAGGUAACACGUGGGGUAACCUGCCCAUAAGAGGGGGAUAACAUCCGGAAACGGGUGCUAAUACCGCAUAGUUUCUUGAUCGCAUGAUCGGGAAAGGAAAGACGGCCUUUGUGCUGUCGCUUAUGGAUGGACCCGCGGCGUAUUAGUUAGUUGGUGAGGUAACGGCUCACCAAGACGAUGAUACGUAGCCGACCUGAGAGGGUGAUCGGCCACAUUGGGACUGAGACACGGCCCAAACUCCUACGGGAGGCAGCAGUAGGGAAUCUUCCGCAAUGGACGAAAGUCUGACGGAGCAACGCCGCGUGAGUGAAGAAAAGGUUUUUCGGAUCGUAAAACUCUGUUGUCAGAGAAGAACAAGUUGGAGAGUAACUGCUCCAGCCUUGACGGUAUCUGACCAGAAAGCCACGGCUAACUACGUGCCAGCCGCUGC